rnacentral:rRNA from 1 species
GAGCGCAACCCCUAUUGUUAGUUGCCAUCAUUAAGUUGGGCACUCUAGCGAGACUGCCGGUAAUAAACCGGAGGAAGGUGGGGAUGACGUCAAAUCAUCAUGCCCCUUAUGACCUGGGCUACACACGUGCUACAAUGGUUGGUACAACGAGUCGCAAGCCGGUGACGGCAAGCUAAUCUCUUAAAGCCAAUCUCAGUUCGGAUUGUAGGCUGCAACUCGCCUACAUGAAGUCGGAAUCGCUAGUAAUCGCGGAUCAGCACGCCGCGGUGAAUACGUUCCCGGGCCUUGUACACACCGCCCGUCACACCACGAGAGUUUGUAACACCCGAAGUCGGUGAGGUAACCUAUUAGGAGCCAGCCGCCUAAGGUGGGAUAGAUGAUUGGGGUGAAGUCGUAACAAGGUAGCCGUAUCGGAAGGUGCGGCUGGAUCACCUCCUUUCUAAGGAA